rnacentral:rRNA from 1 species
GACGAACGCUGGCGGCGUGCUUAACACAUGCAAGUCGAGCGGUAAGGCCCUUUCGGGGGUACACGAGCGGCGAACGGGUGAGUAACACGUGGGUGACCUGCCCUUAGCUCUGGGAUAAGCCUGGGAAACUGGGUCUAAUACCGGAUAUGACCUCAUGACUCAUGUUGUGGGGUGGAAAGCCUUGUGCGGCUAGGGAUGGGCCCGCGGCCUAUCAGCUUGUUGGUGGGGUGAUGGCCUACCAAGGCGACGACGGGUAGCCGGCCUGAGAGGGCGACCGGCCACACUGGGACUGAGACACGGCCCAGACUCCUACGGGAGGCAGCAGUGGGGAAUCUUGCGCAAUGGGCGAAAGCCUGACGCAGCGACGCCGCGUGAGGGAUGACGGCCU